UGCUUUCUGGUGGCGGAGCAAGCUUUGAGACAAGUAGCUUUGGAGAAUAGCUGAGGGUCCAUUUCCACUGCAGACUAAUCCCUGCCAAUGGGUGCUGCACACAGUGUUUGGGAGGUGGAUCAUUUGUACACAUUCUUUGUUCAGUGGUCUCCCGAUGUCUAUGGAAAAGAUGCCAAAGAGCAAGGCUUUGUGGUGGUGGAGAAGGAAGAACUGAACAUGAUUGACAACUUCUUCAGUGAGCCAACAACCAAGAGCUGGGAGAUCAUCACUGUUGAAGAGGCAAAGCGCAGGAAGAGCACAUGCAGCUACUAUGAAGACGAGGACGAAGAGGUGCUGCCUGUCCUACGGCCCCACAGCGCGCUCCUGGAGAAUAUGCACAUCGAGCAGCUGGCCCGACGCCUUCCUGCAAGGGUGCAAGGGUAUCCAUGGAGACUGGCCUAUAGCACGUUAGAGCACGGGACCAGCUUAAAGACGCUCUACCGGAAAUCGGCAUCACUAGACAGUCCUGUCCUAUUGGUCAUCAAAGAUAUGGAUAAUCAGAUUUUUGGAGCAUAUGCAACUCAUCCUUUCAAGUUCAGUGACCACUAUUAUGGCACAGGCGAAACUUUUCUCUACACAUUCAGCCCUCAUUUUAAG
rnacentral:sRNA from 1 species